GGUCGUGCUCUAGGUCAGAUCUGUACGGUGACCCUGAGGUACAAAACACAACGGUAAAUCAGAAAACACAACAACAUUAACCAUUGUGUUUUCUCUCUUUGUGUUGUGUUUUCUAAUUUGCCAUUGUCUUUUGCACCUCAGGGCCACGGUAGAUCUGUGAUCUUGGAUCUUUGGC